GUUCGCACACCUGUCUUCUGUGAUCAUCAGGACUGGCUCUUAUACCCUGCCAUCUCCUCAGUUCCCUGCCGGAUUAUUAAGUCAUGUUUUGUUCCUGGAGACCCUGCUCUGCAAACCAUCGCGGACCCACUUCUCCAUCAGCUCCCUUUUACCUGCCACCCCACGCCACAUUAGGGAAACCAUUCCUCCUGCAUCAAGCCUGUCUCACUAUAUUCACUGUUCAAUAAACUGUGUUCUUGUCUGCAUCUGGGUUCUGUGCCAAAACAUCUCUGGUUAUAAACAACCCAC